AUUGAACGCUGGCGGCAUGCCUUACACAUGCAAGUCGAACGGUAACAGGUUAAGCUGACGAGUGGCGAACGGGUGAGUAAUGUAUCGGAACGUGCCCAGUCGUGGGGGAUAACUGCUCGAAAGAGCAGCUAAUACCGCAUACGACCUGAGGGUGAAAGCGGGGGAUCGCAAGACCUCGCGCGAUUGGAGCGGCCGAUAUCAGAUUAGGUAGUUGGUGGGGUAAAGGCCUACCAAGCCUACGAUCUGUAGCUGGUCUGAGAGGACGACCAGCCACACUGGGACUGAGACACGGGCCAGACUCCUACGGGAGGCAGUAGUGGGGAAUUUUGGACAAUGGACGCAAGUCUGAUCAAGCCAUGCCGCGUGCGGGAAGAAGGCCUUCCGGUUGUAAACCGCUUUUGUCAGGGAAGAAAAGGUUCUGGUUAAUACCUGGGACUCAUGACGGUACCUGAAGAAUAAGCACCGGCUAACUACGUGCCAGCCGCCGCAGUAAAAC
rnacentral:rRNA from 1 species